rnacentral:rRNA from 1 species
CAGCAGCCGCGGUAAUACGAAGGGGGCUAGCGUUGUUCGGAAUUACUGGGCGUAAAGGGCGCGUAGGCGGCCAUUCAAGCUAGAUGUGAAAGCCCUGGGCUCAACCUAGGAAUUGCAUUUGAUACUGUUUGGCUUGAGUUCGGGAGAGGUGAGUGGAAUUCCCAGUGUAGAGGUGGAAUUCGUAGAUAUUGGGAAGAACACCAGUAGCGAAGGCGGCUUACUGGACCGACACUGACGCUGAGGCGCGAAAGCGUGGGGAGCAAACAGGAUUAGAUACCCCGGUAGUCCCUGUCUCUUAUAC